GCGGGUGUAGUUUAGUGGUAGAAUGCCUGCCUUCCAAGCAGAUGAUGGGAGUUCGAUUCUCCCCACCCGCA
rnacentral:tRNA from 1 species